CUCAGUUGCCAGCACAUAAUGGUGGGCGACUCUGUGGAGACUGCCCGGGUUAACCGGGAGGAAGGUGGGGAUGACGUCAAGUCAUCAUGGCCCUUACGCCUAGGGCUACACACGUACUACAAUGGUGGGUACAAAGGGCAGCGAAACCGCGAGGUCGAGCGAAUCUCAAAAAACCCAUCAUAGUCCGGAUUGCAGUCUGCAACUCGACUGCAUGAAGUUGGAAUCGCUAGUAAUCCCGGAUCAGCAUGCCGGGGUGAAUACGUUCCCGGGCCUU
rnacentral:rRNA from 1 species